rnacentral:rRNA from 3 species
GUUGACCUCGAAUCAGGUAGGAAUACCCGCUGAACUUAAGCAUAU